GACGAACGCUGGCGGCGCGCCUAACACAUGCAAGUCGAACGAGCGAGAGAGAGCUUGCUUUCUCGAGCGAGUGGCGAACGGGUGAGUAACGCGUGAGGAACCUGCCUCAAAGAGGGGGACAACAGUUGGAAACGACUGCUAAUACCGCAUAAGCCCACGGUGCCGCAUGGCACAGAGGGAAAAGGAGCAAUCCGCUUUGAGAUGGCCUCGCGUCCGAUUAGCUAGUUGGUGAGGUAAUGGCCCACCAAGGCGACGAUCGGUAGCCGGACUGAGAGGUUGAACGGCCACAGUGGGACUGGGAAACGGCCCAGACUCCUACGGGAGGCAGCAGUGGGGAAUAUUGCACAAUGGGGGAAACCUUGAUGCAGCGACGCCGCGUGGAGGAAGAAGGUCUUCGGAUUGUAAACUCCUGUUGUUGAGGAAGAUAAUGACGGUACUCAACAAGGAAGUGACGGCUAACUACGUGCCAGCCGCCGCGGUAA
rnacentral:rRNA from 1 species